rnacentral:misc_RNA from 1 species
GAAGAGUCAGCCAAACCUCACUAUGGAUGAGCUUUGUGACGCUCGAUACUUUGACGACAUUGUGCAUGUGACAAAGCAAGCAGCGGGAUACAGGGAAGGCACUAAGCUGACCCCACCAACGUUCCUAGUGCCUACUGUGCCAAGAACAGUGGGAACUGCGUUGGGGAAGGUUUGCCAUGUACUACUGGGCGUCAGUAUGCGAGAAGGAAACACGGAGAUGCAGAACCGAAUCUCCAUCUUCAAGAGACUGCUAGAAAACGAAUGGGGCGAUAAAAUGGGGCGCGCCUCACUCGAAACAUUGAAUUUGAGAAAACAGAACGCAGAGAAACAGCUGCCAACCACCGAAGAUAUGAAACGGCUACAGAACCACCUUCAGACCAAACUGGCAUCCACGAUGGAGUCUGUGAGUAGAAAGCCUAGCGUCAAGUCAUACAACACCUUGGCGUGCGUAACAGCCGUCAGCCUCAUGGUGUUCAACAAACGUAGAGGUGGAGAGUCCAUGAAGAUUCGUGUCCGUGAUUACACUUCAAGAGCGGCGUACACCCAAAACGAGACAGUCGUCAAUUCGCUAUCAGACUUGGAGAAACAGAUCAUGGACAAGAUGUGCCUGAUCAAAACGCGUGGCAAACGUGGAAGGACUGUGCCGGUUCUCAUACCACAGAUGGAGAAACGGGCGAUCGAUCUUCUGGUUUCUCUCCGUGAGUCGGUGGGUCUGCGUGAUAGUGUACCAGAAGAGGCGCUCCUCUUCUCAAAGGCUCCGGAAGGAAGACUCGUAAACGGGUGGUAUCAGCUGAAGAAAGAAUGCAGAGAUGCUGGUUGCCGAGACAUAAACGCCAUCACUUCAACAAAUAUGCGCAAAUAUCUAGCCACGAUCGCCCAGAUCAUGAACCUAUCAGAAAAUGAAAUGGAUCAGAUUGCCUCACACCUCGGACACGAUAUAACCGUUCACAGAAAAUAUUAUCGCCUACCGGACAGCACAGUAGAACUCGCGAAAAUAGCGAAACUUCUACUGUCUACCGAAGAAACGCUUGGAGCCAAUCUCGACGAUGAUGCUGAAGGAGCGUCAAAUGCAGUCGGCGCUACGGCUGGCCGUGUCAGCGACCCACCUGCUCGGCCACGGCCAACAGGCAGCCGGCUCCGACGUCAAGUAGGCGCUACGGUUCCUGACGCCAGCAGGAGCACUUGACCAGCAGCUCACCGCCACCGCACAGGACCUGGCACAGCUCGGCACAGGCAUGCACAUUGACCCAGCAGUGGUGCAAGAAUGCGAAUGGCAAGCUCUGCACUGAUUCCUCCGUUUUUAGCAUUAGUGUUUCGCGUAACUUUCCGUUAAACGGACGGGGCCGCCGCCGGCCCCGGCCGCCGCCGUGCGAGUCGGCCGCCGCGCCGCUACGGACGACUGGCACACGCCACAAGUGUGAUGGAUUUUCGGCCAACGCGGCGACACCGGCGUAGCGUUCAAUUGGCCGCGCUGCCCUGACGCUCCGGUGACGGACAGGUGGACCGAGGGCGCCGCCCGCCCAUCCCUCCGGACCAGGCCAGGCCGGCCGAUCUGAGGGAGGUAGGGAGGAGCCGCGUGGCUGGCCGAAUGGACGGCCGCGCCGGGCCAUUGUCACUGAUUGUUGGCCAUUGUCACUGAUUGUUCAUUGCCGCACCGAGGUCCGGCGAUGUCACCGGAAUGCCGCCACUGGUUUGAGUUUCCGCGAAACCGGCUUGCCCAGAGAUGUUUGUCACUGGCAUUGCUAUGUGCUAUUUGUGAUGUUCAUAUAUACCAUUCCCGUUACGGAGUACAUAUCUUGUUUUGAACGUUAAGUUCCGAUAUACGAACUGGCCGUCUGAAAAAGAGCCGCACGUGCACGAUGCUUGUAGAUAUUCCUGACGACCACGAACCGACCACGAAUCAGAACUGCGCCUCUCGUAAUGGGAGUGCGAGUAGUUGUUGCGAGUUAGAGCUCCUUGGCGAGUGGCUGACUCUGAACUGACUGACUAAACACCGGUUAGCUGUUUCACCAGCAGUCCCAGUGGAGGGAAGUAGGCCCAGGCGAGCAGGGUGUCGCAGCGUAAGUCCGACGAUGGCGGCGCAGUAGUCGAAUGGCGUCCACAUUUAGCCGACGAAGGCUGCGCUGAGCGCCAUACCCGCCUCACCUUAUCUCCGAGUCACGUGUUCAUGACUGACACGGGCAACCAUACGGCCCGUCGUUGCCCACGCGCACCCCAGACGGGGCCGCCAGUCGCGGCCCCGGACACGUCAGUCCCCAGAUCUGCAGUGAUGUCGCCCGGCUCUGACGAUGGCGCACAGCCGCCGUGUCCGCGGUCUCCGUCGCCGCCGCGGUAUGCGGCGCUGGGCGGCGACUCGUACAUGUCGCGGUCUCGCCAUUGGGGGCCGAACGAUUCGCGGCUCCCGCCGACCCCGCCGGCGACGAGUUUCCUCCGGCGAGUCCUGCGCCGUCUGGCGUGGUCGACGCUGCCCGGGAGGUUCCUGGCUGGCAAGCUGCUGCUGUGUCUACCGACGCACAGAGUUUUGUCGUGGCUGUGCUGUCCGCGGCCGUGCUCCACGGUUGCGACGUCUGCGGCCAAGCUGCCCGCUGCUGAGCUCCGCGGCCGAGCUGCCAGCGGCCGUGCUCUGCGGCCGUGCUCUGCGGUCGUGCUCUGCGGCCGUGCUUCCCGUGGCUGGGCCCUCCGUGGUCCCGUGAUCGUGGCCGCGGCGAGGGUGCCGCGACCUGCGCGAUGCCGUGCGCUGCAGUGAUGGCGCCGCGCACUGUGCAGUGAUUUUGCCGAGCGCUGCGUACGCGGUGGGUGCCGCGCGCCGCGCUGUUGAGCGUGCCGUAUUCGGACGGUGGCUGCCGCGCGCAGCGUGGUGAUUGCUGCGCUCUGCCAUGAGUGCCGCUCACUGCCGUGGCCUGAGUGCCGCGCUCGGACGGAGUGCCACGCGCCGUUGUGUUGCGUCGCCUUCUGCCUUUUGAUAUGUGCUAUCUCCGAAUUUAAUGUUGCUUGUUGCCGAUGUUCGCUUCUUUUCGUUAAGAGGGUCGGGUAUAGUCGGUCGAUUUAUUCGCACCGUUUGAUUUCGUACCGGCUUCUCUUCUGUUUCUUAUUGUUUUCUGCGAUGUCACUUGUCCGAUUUUAUAUCUGAUUAAUUCACGUCACUUAAGUAUUUAUUUUAUAUUGUCAUAAUAACUUACGGCGCUGUUCCUUUAUUUUCUGUUUAGUUGCAGCCCUAGUACCUUAAUUUCCGAUGUCUCUUCGGUUUGUUGUCGCUCGCAUGUUCAGAGAGUCCUGGUUGGCCGGCGCGAGCGGCGGUUGUGGAAUACAAGCUCGUCUGUGAA